rnacentral:lncRNA from 1 species
CGACUUAUCAGUAUUACCGACAUAUAGUCAGCCUAUUUGCUCAACACAUCCUAACCAUUAUGAACAGUUAUCGACUACGUAUCACGGUCAUUAAUGAGAAUAAAUAGCCCACUAACUCUACGAUUAUGGUCCGAUAAUUUAGCGUCAAAAAAAGCAAGAUCACAUGCUCGACGGUUAUAUCAGAAUCAUCUAUAAAAAGAGAG